rnacentral:rRNA from 1 species
UACGAACCGUGCGAACGUUGUUCGGAUUCACUGGGCUUAAAGGGCGCGUAGGCGGGCGGUCAAGUCGGGGGUGAAAUCUUUCAGCUUAACUGGAAAAGUGCCUCCGAUACUGAUCGCCUCGAGGGAGGUAGGGGCAUGUGGAACUUCCGGUGGAGCGGUGAAAUGCGUAGAUAUCGGAAGGAACGCCGGUGGCGAAAGCGACGUGCUGGACCUCUUCUGACGCUGGAGGCGCGAAAGCUAGGGGAGCAAACGGG